rnacentral:lncRNA from 1 species
UUAGGCUACCACAACCAGCAUACGAUCCCUUUCCCAGCAAGAAGGUCUGUUCUGGGCCCAGGCUCCCAGAAGCUUUGAGGUCUCUGGUGCCAGAGCUCCAGAAGAUUUAGUCUUAUUUUGCUCCUAGGUCUACACCCUGUUGCUGUCCCCACUGUCCUGACAUCCAGUCUGGCACUUCCUCAGCACCUGGCUAGGAGGCACUCUCUGCCUCAUUAGCGAGCUCACCUGGGCUGGGUCCUGGGCGCUGCUCCCUCCUGUCUGGGCCUGAUUUCUGCCGGCUGCAGAUUAAGAAGCUAUAUCAUUGCCUUCAAAAUGACCUGCUAUUUCCUGGAAACUGUAAUUUGCUGGACCUGUCCUUGUCACUGGGGUAAGUAUAAUGCCUUUAAUAAUCUUCCAGUCACUAAGUGAUGUGUUUGCAUCAAAAAGAUGGAUCUGGCUUGGCGGCAGGGGAGGCGCUCCAUGUCUGUUCUCCCAGUGACAUCUAGAGGCUUCACAGGGCCUGGAGCAGAGUGAAGCAGGUUGGAGGACUUUUCUCCAGGUUCACUGAAUUUAGUCAUAAGAAUGUUUUAAAGGCUGAGAAUGAGAGCAUUUCAGGGCACGACUGCCUUAUAGCAUGACUCCCAAGUGGGGCAGACAAAAACCGGGUGAGAGGCAGCGUCCACAGGAAAGGAUCUGGCCGAAUCCUUUGAAGACACAGAGAAGCCAC